UAGGGAAUCUUCGGCAAUGGACGAAAGUCUGACCGAGCAACGCCGCGUGAGUGAAGAAGGUUUUCGGAUCGUAAAACUCUGUUGUUAGAGAAGAACAAGGACGUUAGUAACUGAACGUCCCCUGACGGUAUCUAACCAGAAAGCCACGGCUAACUACGUGCCAGCAGCCGCGGUAAUACGUAGGUGGCAAGCGUUGUCCGGAUUUAUUGGGCGUAAAGCGAGCGCAGGCGGUUUCUUAAGUCUGAUGUGAAAGCCCCCGGCUCAACCGGGGAGGGUCAUUGGAAACUGGGAGACUUGAGUGCAGAAGAGGAGAGUGGAAUUCCAUGUGUAGCGGUGAAAUGCGUAGAUAUAUGGAGGAACACCAGUGGCGAAGGCGGCUCUCUGGUCUGUAACUGACGCUGAGGCUGGAAAGCGUGGGGAGCAAACAGG
rnacentral:rRNA from 1 species